UGACGAGGCACUACGGUGCUGAAGCAACAAAUGCCCUGCUUCCAGGAAAAGCCUCUAAGCAUCAGGUAACACGAAAUCGUACCCCAAACCGACACAGGUGGUCAGGUAGAGAAUACCAAGGCGCUUGAGAGAACUCGGGUGAAGGAACUAGGCAAAAUGGUGCCGUAACUUCGGGAGAAGGCACGCUGGUGCGUAGGUGAAGUGACUUGCUCACGGAGCUGAAACCAGUCGAAGAUACCAGCUGGCUGCAACUGUUUAUUAAAAACACAGCACUGUGCAAACACGAAAGUGGACGUAUACGGUGUGACGCCUGCCCGGUGCCGGAAGGUUAAUUGAUGGGGUUAUCCGUAAGGAGAAGCUCUUGAUCGAAGCCCCGGUAAACGGCGGCCGUAACUAUAACGGUCCUAAGGUAGCGAAAUUCCUUGUCGGGUAAGUUCCGACCUGCACGAAUGGCGUAAUGAUGGCCAGGCUGUCUCCACCCGAGACUCAGUGAAAUUGAAAUCGCUGUGAAGAUGCAGUGUACCCGCGGCAAGACGGAAAGACCCCGUGAACCUUUACUAUAGCUUGACACUGAACAUUGAGCCUUGAUGUGUAGGAUAGGUGGGAGGCUUUGAAGCGUGGACGCCAGUCUGCGUGGAGCCAACCUUGAAAUACCACCCUUUAAUGUUUGAUGUUCUAACGUGGACCCGUGAUCCGGGUUGCGGACAGUGUCUGGUGGGUAGUUUGACUGGGGCGGUCUCCUCCUAAAGCGUAACGGAGGAGCACGAAGGUCAGCUAAUCCUGGUCGGACAUCAGGAGGUUAGUGCAAUGGCAUAAGCUGGCUUGACUGCGAGCGUGACGGCGCGAGCAGGUGCGAAAGCAGGUCAUAGUGAUCCGGUGGUUCUGAAUGGAAGGGCCAUCGCUCAACGGAUAAAAGGUACUCCGGGGAUAACAGGCUGAUACCGCCCAAGAGUUCAUAUCGACGGCGGUGUUUGGCACCUCGAUGUCGGCUCAUCACAUCCUGGGGCUGAAGUAGGUCCCAAGGGUAUGGCUGUUCGCCAUUUAAAGUGGUACGCGAGCUGGGUUUAGAACGUCGUGAGACAGUUCGGUCCCUAUCUGCCGUGGGCGCUGGAGAACUGAGGGGGGCUGCUCCUAGUACGAGAGGACCGGAGUGGACGCAUCACUGGUGUUCGGGUUGUCAUGCCAAUGGCACUGCCCGGUAGCUAAAUGCGGAAGAGAUAAGUGCUGAAAGCAUCUAAGCACGAAACUUGCCCCGAGAUGAGUUCUCCCUGAGACUUUAAGUCUCCUGAAGGAACGUUGAAGACGACGACGUUGAUAGGCCGGGUGUGUAAGCGCAGCGAUGCGUUGAGCUAACCGGUACUAAUGAACCGUGAGGCUUAACCUU
rnacentral:ncRNA from 1 species